rnacentral:rRNA from 1 species
AUACGGAGGAUGCGAGCGUUAUCCGGAUUUAUUGGGUUUAAAGGGAGCGUAGGUGGGAUAUUAAGUCAGCUGUGAAAGUUUGGGGCUCAACCUUAAAAUUGCAGUUGAUACUGGUUUCCUUGAGUACGGUACAGGUGGGCGGAAUUCGUGGUGUAGCGGUGAAAUGCUUAGAUAUCACGAAGAACUCCGAUCGCGAAGGCAGCUCACCGGGCCGGAACUGACACUGAUGCUCGAAAGUGCGGGUAUCAAACAGGAUUAGAUACCCUGGUAGUCCGCACAGUAAACGAUGAAUACUCGCUGUUUGCGAUACACUGUAGGCGGCCAAGCGAAAGCGUUAAGUAUUCCACCUGGGGAGUACGCCGGCAACGGUGAAACUCAAAUGAAUUGACGGGG